GAUGAACGCUGGCGGCGUGCUUAACACAUGCAAGUCGAACGAUGAAGCCCCUGUUUGCAGGGGUGGAUUAGUGGCGAACGGGUGAGUAACACGUGAGCAACCUGCCCCUGACUCUGGGAUAAGCGCUGGAAACGGUGUCUAAUACUGGAUAUGUGCCACGGCCGCAUGGUCUGUGGUUGGAAAGCUCUUUCGGUUGGGGAUGGGCUCGCGGCCUAUCAGCUUGUUGGUGAGGUAAUGGCUCACCAAGGCGUCGACGGGUAGCCGGCCUGAGAGGGUGACCGGCCACACUGGGACUGAGACACGGCCCAGACUCCUACGGGAGGCAGCAGUGGGGAAUAUUGCACAAUGGGCGGAAGCCUGAUGCAGCAACGCCGCGUGAGGGAUGACGGCCUUCGGGUUGUAAACCUCUUUUAGCAGGGAAGAAGCGAAAGUGACGGUACCUGCAGAAAAAGCACCGGCUAACUACGUGCCAGCCGCCGCGGUAACAC
rnacentral:rRNA from 1 species